rnacentral:rRNA from 1 species
CAGAGCUGAGCUCCAUGUGGUGGAGUCAAGCAAUCUCGGGCUUGGUUAGUACUAGGAUGGGUGACCGCUUGGGAAUACCAAGUGUGAUAAGCA